AGCAGGAGAACGGCGUUCACUCCUCCGCAGGGCGGCUAACACUAACACGAGCCAACCUUUCUGAUUCUGUUUUCUACGCAUAUCUGCCAUAUGUCACCAUGUGCUUUAGAAAUCUCAUUCAACCCUCCCAGGUGGGAUUUUGGAAAUGAACAUAAUCCUUAUAUACGUGGUCUGAAGACUGAAUAACUUCUGCUGUAGCCAGCCUCCGAGAUGGCCCCACCAAUCGCUGCCUCCUGGAAUUCGUGUCCUGUGGAGUCCCCGCACAGGAAUUUGUAAGCACCUCAAAUGAAGAGAGCCAAAGCACCCGUUACCCAAGUUUUACAUUUGUUCUCUGAAUGAAGCUCAUCAAUAUCCCACACGAUCCCUUCAGUCACAGUUAGCAGGCUCUUAGGACAUCUAAGUGAACACAGCUGUCAAAGACCCCUGUCCACAUGGAGCCUUUCCUGAUGAGUGAGGGGCAGGGCUGCAGCCCUCUUGCCCCAGAUGGCUGUGCUUGGAGCCAAAGGAGAAUGCCUGAAAGCUGCUGUAAGCAAUCUGAGGUCCAUCCUAUGAAUCCGAACAGGCACUGUCCUAGAAGAGGGAGCUGGGUGCAAAACCAAAGGAUUCAAGAACAAAGGAGAGAUGAUGAGUGGGUACCUAAAGAAGGCAAGAUCUGGAGGAGUUCCUGAGGCAAAGAAAAAAGUGACAGCAGUAGCAUUUUGGACAAUUCAAAUGCCCUUAAGGAGAAGGGAUCCUGGUAAAAGAAAGGAGGGGACAAGACUAAUGCAGAUAUACCAAUGGCCCACAGCUUCCUUCCUCUUGACAGAGCGAAGGCAGAGCAAAUUUACAUGAUUGAAUGUUACUACAGCCUCUGGCAUGACCAGCAGAUGACAGGAAGCUGCUGCUUUCAAGAAUUUCAACUCUGAAAGAGGGAGAAAGAGGAGGAUUUGAGACCCUGGGAGUCAGGAGUGCUCCCGUGGCUGUGCAACAUGGUGUGCCACGUGGUGCCGUGUCCAUACCUGGGAUCCGAACCAGCAAACCAGGGGCCGCCGAGAAGCGGAACGUGCACACUUCACCACUACGCCACACGGCUGGCCCCUAAUAGAAGUAUUUUUAAGGAAAAAGUGUGUUUCCUAUCUACCUCACAUUUGGACCUGUAUGAAAGAUUCAACCUUGCUGCCAUGGGAAGUUUUUCUCAAGGUGGCUCAAGUUCAGAAGACUGGGUGUAGUCAGCCAAGAAAAUGCUUAGAAACGGAACUUUAUCCCAGUUUUAAGUGACUGUGCUGUUUGUGCUCGGCAAACAACACAUUGAAAUUUUGGGGGAGUGCUUCAAGUUGUAGAGGAACAAGAAGUCACUUCCAUCUGUGAACAUUCCACAGAAACUGACCCCGAGACUCACUGUGUUCCCUGAGGAUACAACAAGCAUGCUUCCCGUCCCCUCGCUACCGUGAUGCUUGCUCACAUACUGGAGGAAUCUGGAGAAGCUGCUGGAAAACUCAACAACUUUUAUGUGCACAAUAAUACUUGAGCCCUUGAUUUUUCUGAAAAAGAAAAAUAAAAGUGAGAUUUGAUUGUGUUUAACAUCUUUCAUUCCAUGUCCCUGAAGACAUAUCUUUAGUGAAUUUCUGUAAAGAAAUAAAUACUUUUACAAAACUAACUAAUGUCAAGUAGAGGGACAAUGAAGAGAGAUGAAAUAGAGUAGGACACUAUUACUAAAAGUGAGGGUAAAAAAAUAGAGUGUGAGAAGAUGAGUGAAGUAGCGGACCCAUUUGAGAGAGCUCCGAUACGGACGGCUCUUUGACAAG
rnacentral:lncRNA from 1 species